GAGCUGAUGGGCAUACUCGGAUUCCCCUUCAGGACAUCAAAUGGAUGAUGCAAGCUCGAUGUCCUAAGGCC
rnacentral:snoRNA from 1 species